rfam:Zea mays cultivar B73 chromosome 3, whole genome shotgun sequence.
GGAUGAAGCGUCCAAAGGGAUCGCAUUGAUCCAUCAUUCCUUCCAUUUUUUCAUGCAUGGCUGGUCUUCGUCGUCUGCAAGGACUUGUCGAUGGAUCAAUGCGAUCCUUUUGGAGGCUUCCCC